ensembl:lncRNA
UUUUGUUUUGUUUUUAAUAUAUAUAUUUUUACUUUGCUUUCUUGCCUUCACAGCAGCGCUUUCCCCAUAGGUGUGCCGUGACUCCCCGAACCACGCACGCUGCCGGCUCAGCGCAGGGAGCGAGGCGGGGCCUGGCCCAUGGGCAGAGGCCGUGCCCGGGCCGUGAUCAUCGCUGCUGCCACCCCCUCAGCUCUUGGCCGCGUCCGAGGGCUCGGGGCCUCAUUCCGGGCACAUCGCGGUUAAACCGUCGGGGACCGAGGUUUUAUUUGUGCCCGCCUCGGAGCGCGACUCCGAGCUGUUGCAAAGGGCCAGACCCGGAGUAAAAGCACUUGGGGCAGUCGGACGGCGCUAUAAGGGCUCUCGUCCCGCCGGCGGCUCUUCUCAGGGACUGCUCUGCAGAUGCCCCGGCCGCGGUGAUCGGGGCUCACUGCAAUACCGCAUCUGCACCGCUCGCGGGGAACGAACGGGCGCUCUCAGCGCGCCGCAAAGCGCAGCCACCGCCGCGCGAACAGCGCCUACCGUCGCCUUGCGUUUCUGGCAGCGUAGCUUUGCUCUUAUGCUUUAACUUUCACGCCCCGCACCUCCAGGGUUCGCAUCUGUUUAUGUCAUCUCUGGAGCGUGGGGCAGGGAGCUGAGAAACGCAGCGAAGUCGGAGAGAGCUUCUCGUUGGUUAACGCCGGUCUUUAAGGUUAGGCUGCUAAGCCCCUGGUUAGGCCCCUGCUGGAAGGCUGCCUGCCCUCCCGCCGGGCCGCGUCUCGCACCGCGCGAGCAGUGGGGGAGCGCUGUGCGGGAGCGGGGCUGGCAGCCCAGCGUAGCGCUGCUCUGCGCUGUGUUGGCUGCCUCUGUUCCAGUGCCCUCCCGCUCUCCUUGUAACAGUGCACGUUAUACCCUCGGUAAGUAGAGGGUGGCUGGAAAUCGCAAUGGAGUUUCAAAUAAAUAAUAAUUUUCACGGCGCGCUGGUGAUUAAAUAUCACGGGUCAUUAACGCAGCUAAUGGGUCGUUGAUAAAACAAUUUAUCUGCGGCAUGAGUGAAAGCGGAAUAUUUCGGGGUGCUAAUUCCCUUGGAGCCUCUUUCCCCUCCCCUGGAUGAGCGGACCCACCGUCCCGCUGCCCCCGGCGGUAGCCGAGCUCCCCGCGAGAAGCGCAGCCCCGGAGGUUGGCGGAGAGGUCGGGAGGGUGCAGGUCUCGUCCCUGCGGCUGAGGUACCGCCCCGCUCUGUGCGAUUAGGGCUGAGCGGAGAGAGGGAAAGGAAAGCGGCUCUUUGUGGAAGCACCCAGCAGUCGUUCCCCCAGGGCCGCGUCCUGUUCCCGUAUAUGCCUGCACGAGUUUGGUCACUUUAUGCGCCCGUCAUCUUGUGCAGUGUUUUUUUCUUCUGGAAAUCCUACUGGAUGGUAAUAAGCACGGGCACAAAGCGAGGAAUGAAAGAAAAGUCCGAAUUAUGUGUGUGUAUAUAUAUAUAAAGUACUUGUAAGUAAAAAUACCGAAUUCUUCUUUUGCGAAAUCUCUGUUGUGAGAAAAGUUCAUUCGAAAUCAAUUAUUUCUGUUUAAAGAAAAUGAAUGACUACCGCAGUGUUGUUACCUACAGUGCUUCCUUCUCCAACUCUUGAGGUCAUACUUGGAGCAAUGCGCACACCCCGAUCGCGUACCGCUGCCCGGGUUUCAACAACUGCGGUGACGACCGACACUUCGUAUCCCUGAACUACACAAAUCGCAACGGAUUGGGAUUGUUACGGACGCGUCGCGCUGCGCUUCGCAGCGUGGGGAGAUCGGCUCCCCCUCCCUCUCCCUCUCCCCCCUAUUUGGCGUUCGGCUGCCAAUCCUCCGGCACCUACGGGCUUCCCCGAGAGGCAGCGACACUUUCAUAGAAUCACAGAAUCGUAGAAUCGCUAAGGUUGGAAAAGACCCACAGCAUCAUCCAGUCCAACCAUUCGCCCUUCACCAAUGGUUCUCGCUAAACCGUGUCCCUCAAGAGCUGGCUCUGUUACUUCCCAGACAUUUUUGGAUAAACUCCGGUGUGGUCUCGUAAUUAGUUCUGUAUUUAUAUGUUUAUGAUUUCCAACCGCUCGCUGAAGAGCAGCCCGUGAUAGCCGCACGUUUCCAGUCUAUAACUUUGAUCCGCUUCCCGGCGGGAGCUGUCAUCUCUAUUUCUUUCCCCGCAUUUUUCAGCCGCCUCCCAAUACUCCGCUUCCCUCCCUCAAGAAAGGGCGCUCAGCAAAGCGGGGACGCUGCUUUAGGAAACACUAACGCGAAGUACCAGCACAUUUGCUGCUGAUCUCCAGCUCUUAAUCUAUUGCCCAAAUAACAUCCCACGUUAUCUCCAGGACACGCGUUCGCUCUUCUGUCUCUUCCUGUGUCCCAUUAAUAGGACAAGCCCGCCUGCAUGCGACCCUUUCUACAUGUACUCAGCGACGGUGUGCUUUGGCUGGCUGAAGAAAAUCCAUUUCCAAACAUCAUAAUCCGGAUUCAGAUGAGAAGUUGACUCGCAGAGUAUUCAGUGCUUGAAAUACAUGGGAAGCAAUUUAAAUGGCUAUCCGGUAACCCUUCCAUCUACUCUCUGAAGUAUGCUCAUGUAAAUACCACAAUGCAAGCAUUUCAGAAAGUACUCCCUACUUACACACUGAGGAGAAAAGAACACACAGGCCUGAAGGUCCAUAUCAGGUGACCUGUGUAUAUGAAGUAUACUAGCAUGUUAAAAAAUGCUCUGACAACUUCUUUUUUUAAGUAUAUCCUUUAGAAAACCUGUGUCUUUUCUUCAUUUGUGACCAAUAUAUAUUUGCUCCAUUUAGCAAUAAUGAUCUAGAUCAAGAACCCAUCUAGGCACCGUACAUACACACAAUAGAUAGUUUCCAACUGAGCUUAUAAUUCUAAAUAACUUGUCUUAAAAAUGGGAAGAGAAAUAAAGGUUUAUUUUUACCAUCUGAGAUCUGGGGGAAAAUUAAUUUCUUAAUAGCUAGUAACUAAAAAAAGUCACCAACUUCCCAGCUCACUGUCUUCAUUGAAAGCUUAGUUUUCCUUUAGUUCUCUUUAAAUACAUCAAACUAUGUAACUAACUGAGAAAUGCCAUUAUUUUCUGUCCCUAUAUUUUUCUUCAUUUUGGUUUCUAGGUGUGCCAACACAAAUGACUGAAAAGCAGCAGUUUGAGAUAAAUGCCUGCAUUCAGAUACAUCAAGGAGAUGCAGUUAGAAAGAUAGACAGCUGAGCAGUCUAUGGAAGUGAUAGCUGUUCACUUUGAGAACUGCUGUCCUGAUGUAGUUGGUAUGUUAAGAGAUGUCUGUCAAACUUAUGGGAAAAUACACCACUAAAAUGCAGUGGAGGACACUACAGAGAAAAUUCUGCUACCACAUAAAUACUUAGGGAAUAGCAGCAGAAUGAAUGCGUAAGACAGAGGAAAGGCAAAUUAAAAGUAUCAGAUGAAGGAAGAAGAAGCUAAAUAUUAAGACACGACAUUUCCAUGUUUCCUGUUACUUUUUUUUCAAGGA